CGUUCCCGGGCCUUGUACACACCGCCCGUCAAGUCACGAAAGUUGGCAAUACCCGAAGCCGGUGGCCUAACCCGCAAGGGAGGGAGCCGUCGAAGGUAGGGUCGAUGAUUGGGGUG
rnacentral:rRNA from 1 species